ensembl:lncRNA
UUAGCUUGGCGUGAAACAUGUACAGUAGGUUUUACUUACAGGUGAGCAGUGUGAGCUGGGACAGUAAUCAUUUUUCUGCAAUUGCAAUGUUCCAACAUAUAGUUUCAUUAAAAAAAUGUAUCUGCUCUCCUCGAGUAGUGUUUGUACAAUUUAUAGCUUUUUCAGACUGAAGAAAUCUCAUUAGCCUCAUUUUAGUUUUAACAUGGGAAUGUCCUAUAGCCUGAUCCUCCACAUAGGUGCUGGAGAGGGUUCAGCUCUGAAGUCUGUAGGUGUCGCAACAGGUUACACAUGCUCUUAACAGGACAUUGACAACUUCACUUACGACCUUGCUGACCUGAAGCCAGUUUCUAACUUGGAGUCUGACUUUGUUUUCCCUCCCCUGACUAAUGUUAACAUGAACUAUCUAGCCAUGUGUGAAAAACAAGAUCCAUGUGAGUAGAUGCACUGUGGACCUCACAGGCUGUGUGUAAAGAAGGACGGAAAGCCUGUCUUUGCUUCAGAGUCUAACAUCUGCUCUGUAUAAGGGAUUCUUACUACCGCACCUUCGUCGGUAGUAACACUUUGCCGUGAUUGUGGCUAGUAUAUGUCCAUACUGUCUUGCUUUUGCAGAUCAAUAGUCAGCAGAGGAACCUGCCCCUAGCCCUGGCCGCCGGCUCUCUGCCUUUAAACCCUAGCAGCUCCAGCGUUGUCUUGGAAACAGACUUUGGCCUGAUGCUGCGGUAUGACUGGCAUCACAACCUUGAAUUGGAAGUGGCACCGGAGCUGUCUGGUUCACUGUGUGUUCUCUGUGGAAACUACAGCCACAAUGCAACUAAUGACUUUGCCACCCCUGAUGGAACUGUGGCGGCUGUGGACUUCGCGCUUCGCUGGAAAGUGGACUGCGGCGCCUCAUGUCCUGUGUGCAGUACAGGCCAAGUGAACUCUAAACCUACAUUGGGUUCGGUUUCAGGCUGCUGCAGAGCCACGUCCAUGUUGUUCCUGAACAGGACGUCUGCAGCUGCAAGGCUGACCAAUGUGCUGCUGAUGGAGCUCCUUCUGCUGUCUGUAGGUCGAUGCAGGUAUACUCUGACAUAUGUCAGAGGCCGGCUACCUCCCAGUGAAAGGACGGCUAUCUGCUCAGUGGCAGCCAUUGUGUCCCAGACAGCAGGUGUGGCUGCAGCCAUCAAGGUCUCUACUACCUCCCCAAGGAGAUGUUCUGGAUGGACCGCCAGUGUCGGAAGCAGUGCACCUGCCAGCCUUCCUCCAAGAAUGUCACCUGUGUCCAGGCCCAGUGUCAGGAGGACAAGGUGUGCAAGAUUCUGGCUGGGCUGCCAUAAGGAAGGGCUUAGGGUGUGCACAGCUCAAGGGGAUCGGCAUUACACCAUUUUUGACGGGAACAGGUGUGUCUUCCAAGGCACCUGUGCGUACCAGCUGGUGAGGCACUUCCCUAGCUCGGGAGACCUGCCUGGUUUCAGUGUGGUGACACAGAACAUGAGGAGGACGACACCAACACUUCUUAUUCCAGAAGGGUCAAUAUUUUGAUUCAUGGUUACUCUAUUGAGAUCUCUCAUUACUGGGAUGAAGUAGUUGUGGUCAAUGGGAUUAUUUUGAGCCUUCCCUCAGUGUUGAGCCAAGGUAAAGUGAAGAGCUCUCCACGUGUAUUGAGACUGUCUUUGGUGUCCUGGUCACAUACAACUGGAACCUCCUGACUGUCCAAGUGCCCAGGGUCUUCUCUGGCUCACUCUAUGGCCUGUGUGGGAACUUCAACGCGGACCCAGAGGACUAUCUAACAGACGACGGGGACAUCUAUGGCUGUGAGGCGCUGGAAAACUAGUAACGUUGUUGAAUGUGUGGAUGUGACGACAAUGAACAAUCCCCAAUGCCCCAUCAGGAACAGGCUCUCUAUUUAGGCAGGGACUACUGAGGGAGUGUUCCAGAACUGCCACGGGAUGGUCAACCCCAAACGCUGCCUUUGACAACUGUCUACGACCUCUGCUACAACAAUGACAAGCAGAAUGCCCUGUGUCAGAUUCUCUCAAGUUACACCGCUGCUUGCCAGGAGGAAGGGGCAAACAUAGAUGAAUGGAGGCUUCAGAUUAUUGUGGUAAGUAGUUUGAGUUGAUAAAUCCUUUUGCUCUGUAUUGAUGACUAUUUCAACUAAUCAGUUGAUGUGAACCUCUGCAUGAUCCAUACAUUUGCUAAAUUUCCCUUCCUAUGUACUGUACAGGUCUGUCCUGUCCAGCCAACAUUGAAUACAACCUGUGCUCCAUCCCUGUGCCCAACAAUUGUGUGGCGUCUCGUGUAAACCUGGGUUCUUCCAUAGUGGUGUGUCCCCAACACUGAGUGCGGCUGCCUCUGACGGUUUGUGCCACAAGAUCAAGGCAGUGUUUUACGCCCAUGAUCAUUGCCAGGUUGCUUCUCUUGUCGGUCAUGGCUAGCUACCAUGCACUGACACCACCUGUUCCAGUGGAACAGAGUGUAGGAUCCAAAAUGGACCCUGUGACUGCUAUCCAGCGCCAGUUUCAGGGAAGUGCAAAGUGGUGGGAGGCAGGCACUUGGACCUAUGAUGGGCAUAGCUUUGAUCUCCAUAUGGGCAUAUCAAGAAGCCCCCAUUUCCUAAACCAGACAUAUGCCAAGAAUGGAGCAGAUACAUUUUCAUAUAUACAGCAAGGGCAGCUACACCUGAGGUACAAGGGACUGAAUGACUGUGGAACUGCAGCAGAGGGGGAUGGUUGAGGUGGAAAUGGACAAUGGGGCAGUGAUCACGUACAGUGGACCUGACUUCAUACAGCUGUUAUCUCCUCCUGCCUACGCUGGUAAGGCAUGUGGGUGGUGUUGAAACUUCAACAGCACUGCUACAGAUGACACUCAGAUGGUCCGUGACGUUUUCCUGUCUGGGGUCAUCUGCCCAGAGUGUAACUGGACCUUGGCGGCUGAGUUCAAGUUGGAGCAUUUCUGUGGAGUCCUCUCAGCUCCUGCUGGCCUAUUCAGAGACUGCCACGCCACGGUAGACCCACAACCUUUCUUGGACAACUGUGUAAAGGCCCCUGUGUGUGUCUUGAAGGGAUAUGGCAAAGUACUGUGGCAGCCUGAAGGAUUAUUGGGGCGGCAGGGUAGCCUAGUGUUUAGAGCGUUGGACUAGUAACCGAAAGGUUGCAAGUUUGAAUCCCCGAGCUGACUAGGUACAAAUCUGUCGUUCUGCUCCUGAACAGGCAGUUAACCCACUGUUACUAGGCCGUCAUUGAAAAUAAGAAUUUGUUCUUAACUGACUUGCCUAGUUAAAUAAAGGUAGAAAAAAAAUCUAUGUUUGUAUUUUAUGAAGCCGCAGCCAAGGUCUAGCCAUGGAGGGGAGACGAAUGCUGUAAGUGGAUGAUGCAAGAUCCUUUCUGGCUUAAAACUGAAUUCAACAUGUAUUAUGUUUACAAAGACAAAAUGUCUUUCCCCUCCAUACAGCCAUGUCAUGCCCAGUGAACUCUCACUACAAGGUGUGUACCAAUGCCUGCCCUGAAACCUGUGCCAAUACUUCUGGUUUGGUCACCAGUCCUUCGACUUGUGUGGAUGGGUG